rnacentral:tRNA from 1 species
GCCGGAGUGGCGGAAUGGCAGACGCAGAGGACUCAAAAUCCUCCGAGGGCAACCUUGUGUGGGUUCGAAUCCCACCUCCGGCACCA